rnacentral:lncRNA from 1 species
CCAAAUCACACUUAGUUAGAAAAUAAGAGGUCGGAGAAUGAACUGAAUUCAGACAUUUUUAUUACUAAUUGAUUAAUAACUUAUAUUCAGUAUAAAUCAGUGGUCCAUGGUGUUUUUCAUCAGAGGUCACAUCAUCUGUUCUUUGAACCCUGGUUAGGACAGGUAGAUAGGGUAAUAGCCACAGAUUGGCGUUAUAAUAGAUAGUCUCACCUAGAGAAAACUAUGACUCAGAAAAGUCUAGGCAAAGUCCAUUCUUAUUUUCAGAUCACUCAUAAUUCUUUUUCUGCUUUUUUGAGAUAUUUAAUAGAUUACAGAAGGGAAAGUGAAAGUAAUUAUUCUCCAGUAGUUUGUUCACUCCCUAGACAAUACAUAUUUUGAGUGAAGGUUUUUGUACUCGUGCAUUUAAUGU